CACGUAGGGGGCGAGCGUUGUCCGGAUUUAUUGGGCGUAAAGAGCUCGUAGGCGGUUCACUAAGUCGGGUGUGAAACCUCCAGGCUCAACCUGGAGACGCCACCUGAUACUGGUGUGACUAGAGUCCGGUAGGGGAGUGUGGAACUCCUGGUGUAGCGGUGAAAUGCGCAGAUAUCGGGAAGAACACCCGUGGCGAAGGCGGCUCUCUGGGACGGUACUGACGCUGAGACGCGAAAGCGUGGGGAGCGAACAGG
rnacentral:rRNA from 1 species